rnacentral:rRNA from 1 species
CGCGGCCUAUCAGCUUGUUGGUGGGGUGAUGGCCUACCAAGGCGACGACGGGUAGCCGGCCUGAGAGGGCGACCGGCCACACUGGGACUGAGACACGGCCCAGACUCCUACGGGAGGCAUCAGUGGGGAAUAUUGCGCAAUGGGCGGAAGCCUGACGCAGCGACGCCGCGUGGGGGAUGACGGCCUUCGGGUUGUAAACCUCUUUCGCCAGGGACGAAGCGCAAGUGACGGUACCUGGAUAAGAAGCACCGGCCAACUACGUGCCAGCAGCCGCGGUAAUACGUAGGGUGCGAGCGUUGUCCGGAAUUAUUGGGCGUAAAGAGCUCGUAGGCGGUCUGUCGCGUCGGUCGUGAAAACUUGGGGCUUAACCCUGAGCUUGCGGUCGAUACGGGCAUGACUGGAGUUCGGCAGGGGAGACUGGAAUUCCUGGUGUAGCGGUGAAAUGCGCAGAUAUCAGGAGGAACACCGGUGGCGAAGGCGGGUCUCUGGGCCGAUACUGACGCUGAGGAGCGAAAGCGUGGGGAGCGAACAGGAUUAGAUACCCUGGUAGUCCACGCCGUAAACGGUGGGCGCUAGGUGUGGGGGCCAUUCCACGGUCUCUGUGCCGCAGCUAACGCAUUAAGCGCCCCGCCUGGGGAGUACGG